GACGAAGGUGGCGACCGUUGUUCGGAAUUACUGGGCAUAAAGAGCACGUAGGCGGACGACUAAGUAGGGUGUGAAAUCCCUCGGCCCAACCGAGGAACUGCGCCCGAUACUGGUUGUCUUGAGGACAGGAGGGGAGCGCGGAAUUCCAGGUGGAGCGGUGAAAUGCGUUGAUAUCUGGAGGAACACCGGCGGCGAAGGCGGCGCUCUGGCCUGUUUCUGACGCUGAGGUGCGAAAGCCAGGGGAGCAAACGGG
rnacentral:misc_RNA from 1 species